rnacentral:rRNA from 1 species
GGAAUAUUGCACAAUGGGCGAAAGCCUGAUGCAGCGACGCCGCGUGCGGGAUGAAGGCCUUCGGGUUGUAAACCGCUUUUAAUUGGGAGCAAGCGAGAGUGAGUGUACCUUUUGAAUAAGCACCGGCUAACUACGUGCCAGCAGCCGCGGUAAUACGUAGGGUGCAAGCGUUAUCCGGAAUUAUUGGGCGUAAAGAGCUCGUAGGCGGUUUGUCACGCCUGGUGUGAAAGUCCAUCGCUUAACGGUGGAUCUGCGCCGGGUACGGGCAGGCUAGAGUGCAGUAGGGGAGAUUGGAAUUCCCGGUGUAACGGUGGAAUGUGUAGAUAUCGGGAAGAACACCAAUGGCGAAGGCAGAUCUCUGGGCUGUUACUGACGCUGAGGAGCGAAAGCAUGGGGAGCGAACAGGAUUAGAUACCCUGGUAGUCCAUGCCGUAAACGGUGGAUGCUGGAUGUGGGACCCUUCCACGGGUUCCGUGUCGGAGCUAACGCGUUAAGCAUCCCGCCUGGGGAGUACGGCCGCAAGGCUAAAACUCUAAAGUGAAUUGACGGGGUC